rnacentral:rRNA from 1 species
GCAAGAUUAAACUCAAAGNAAUUGACGGGGANCCGCACAAGCGGUGGAUNAUGUGGAUUAAUUCGAUGCAACGCGAAAAACCUUACCUACCCUUGACAUGUCUGGAAGGCCGAAGAGAUUUGGCUGUGCUCGCAAGAGAACUGGAACACAGGUGCUGCAUGGCUGUCGUCAGCUCGUGUCGUGAGAUGUUGGGUUAAGUCCCGCAACGAGCGCAACCCUUGUCAUUAGUUGCUACGAAAGGGCACUCUAAUGAGACUGCCGGUGACNAACCGGAGGAAGGUGGGGAUGACGUCAAGUCCUCAUGGCCCUUAUGGGUAGGGCUUCACACGUCAUACAAUGGUCGGGACAGAGGGUCGCCAACCCGCGAGGGGGAGCCAAUCCCAGNAACCCGAUCGUAGUCCGGAUCGCAGUCUGCAACUCGACUGCGUGAAGUCGGAAUCGCUAGUAAUCGCGGAUCAGCAUGUCGCGGUGAAUACGUUCCCGGGUCUUGUACACACCGCCCGUCACACCAUGGGAGUGGGUUUUACCAGAAGUU